CCUACGGGGGGCAGCAGUGGGGGAUAUUGCACAAUGGGGGAAACCCUGAUGCAGCGACGCCGCGUGAGGGAAGAAGUAUUUCGGUAUGUAAAGCCCUGUCAGCAGGGAAGAAAAAGACGGUACCCGACCAAGAAGCCCCGGCUAACUACGUGCCAGCAGCCGCGGUAAUACGUAGGGGGCGAGCGUUGUCCGGAAUUACUGGGUGUAAAGGGAGCGUAGGCGGGCCUGAAAGGCUGGAGUGAAAGGCGGCGGCCCAACCUCGGGACUGCGUUGGAAACUGCGUGGCUGGAGUGCAGGAGAGGUAAGCGGAAUUCCUAGUGUAGCGGUGAAAUGCGUAGAUAUUAGGAGGAACACCAGUGGCGAAGGCGGCUUACUGGACUGUAACUGACGUUGAGGCUCGAAAGCGUGGGGAGCAAACAGGAUUAGAUACCCCAGUAGUC
rnacentral:rRNA from 1 species